UAACUGCCAUACAGAGUGACUACUUGGGU
rnacentral:piRNA from 1 species